GCAGCCGUAGCUCAGCUGGAGAGAGCGUUGGCCUCCGAAGCCAAAGGUCGUGCGUUCGAGUCGCACCGGUUGCACCA
rnacentral:tRNA from 1 species